rnacentral:rRNA from 1 species
UACGUAGGGUCCGAGCGUUGUCCGGAAUUACUGGGCGUAAAGAGCUCGUAGGUGGUUUGUCGCGUUGUUCGUGAAAACUCACAGCUCAACUGUGGGCGUGCGGGCGAUACGGGCAGACUGGAGUACUGCAGGGGAGACUGGAAUUCCUGGUGUAGCGGUGGAAUGCGCAGAUAUCAGGAGGAACACCGGUGGCGAAGGCGGGUCUCUGGGCAGUAACUGACGCUGGAGGAGCGAAAAGCCGUGGGGAGCGAAACAGG